CGGAGCUGUGCCUUUGAGCCAGUUAGCCGUUCCCCUCAGGCUCGAGGCUGCAAACCUUUGUGAGGAGAGGCCAGGAACGCACCUGUCAGGUGAAACGAUGCUGAGGGUUGUCGUUCCCAGCGGGAGUUGCACUUGAACCGUACAAGAGCAAGCUGAAGUCCUGUGCCGUGCAGAACUCUGCCAAGGUUUUCUGUCUCGUUAAACCAAGUGGUGUGACGAGUGUGAAGGAUUUUCCCAUGGCAGAGGUGUGUAAUGUGAAGUAAAAGGUUACGACAUGCAUCAGCUCAUGGAAGCGGAUGCCAAAUGCCCGUGGAGUCGCUGAAAGAAUAUUUAUCAACAUUUCUCUCUCCACCACAUUUCCAAAAAAAUCUCAACAGGAAAAAAGACCUGCAGCCUCAUUAUUAUGUCAGUGUAACUUGUGCCAUGAGGAGAUCAAGCAGGCAUGUCAGUGUGGGACUGUCAGCGUGAAGAGACCAACUGUGGCUGUGUGUGCAAGCAAGUUCUGGGCACACCAUGUCAGAGGGACUGCUGAGGUUCUUCCAGGCUGCUGAAAUGCCCUUUUUUUCCUCCUUUUUUUUUCCUUUUUUUGAUGGAUGAGUAAAUUAUUAGGAUGUGGA